GUCCCUAUAGCUCAACGGAUAGAGCGUUGGCCUCCGGAGCCAAAGAUGCAGGUUCGAUUCCUGCUAGGGACA
rnacentral:tRNA from 1 species